AAGAAUCAUGGAAUCAUAGAAUCACAGAAGGGUUUGGGUUGGAAGGGGCCUCAAAGUCCACCCAGCCCUAACCUCUGCUGUGGGCAGGGCUGCCCCUACCAGCUCAGGCUGUCCAGGGCCCCAUCCACCCCUUCUCUCAUGGUUGGGGAGCCCCUUUAACCUUGAGGGCGUCCUUUUGGAGCUGGUCGGCCGUUCCCUUGGAAGAGGAAGAGGACCAGAAGUAAGUGUGGGAUAAUAGCCCACAGGCACACAGCCCUCCCCUCCAAGGCUCAAGUUAUUGCGCCUCUGCAUGUGAGUUUGUUUUUUGAUUUUCCACGGUCCAGCCCUGUAUUUAGCAGAGAAAGACACUGCAGAAGUUCUGACACCGAUAACAGCCCUAAAUACACAUGUGCACAAAGCCCAGGGCACGUCUGUUUUGUCUCCGCACACAAAUUAUGAUCCGCGUAUUGUGCUCACACCGUUUUUUUGUUUGGUUGGUGGUGAAGCUGUGAUUUCUUCUUAGGUCGUAGCAUGCCAUUAAAUCAAUC
rnacentral:lncRNA from 1 species